GACAGAGGCCCCGAGCGUUAGGCGGAAUCACUGGGCUUAAAGCGUGUGUAGGCGGACCCCUAAGUGUCUUGUGAAAUCCCACGGCUCACCCGUGGAACUGCUGGGCAUACUGGGGGUCUUGGGCCGUUCAGGGGCGACUGGAACAAGCGGUGGAGCGGUGAAAUGCGUAGAUAUCAUUUGGAACGCCAAUGGUGAAAACAGGUAGCUGGGGCUGUGCUGACGCUGAGACACGAAAGCCAGGGGAGCAAACGGG
rnacentral:rRNA from 1 species